AGAGUUUGAUCCUGGCUCAGAAUGAACGCUGGCGGCGUGCUUAACACAUGCAAGUCGAACGAGAAAGGGAUUGCUUGCAAUCCUGAGUAGAGUGGCGCACGGGUGAGUAACACGUAGAUAAUCUACCUCCGAAGCUGGGAUACUAUUCGAAAGGAUAGCUAAUACCGGAUAAAGUGGUUUGACACAAGUCAGGUCAUGAAAGAUUGCCUCUUCCUGAAAGCAAUUGUUUGGAGAUGAGUUUGCGGACCAUUAGUUUGUUGGUGGGGUAAAGGCCUACCAAGACUACGAUGGUUAGCUGGUCUGAGAGGAUGAUCAGCCACACUGGAACUGGUACACGGUCCAGACUCCUACGGGAGGCAGCAGUGAGGAAUUUUGCGCAAUGGGGGCAACCCUGACGCAGCAACGCCGCGUGAGUGAAGAAGGCCUUUGGGUCGUAAAGCUCUGUCGACAGGGAAGAAAUUAUUAUCAUCCAAUAGGUGGUAGUAUUGACGGUACCUGUAGAGGAAGCACCGGCUAACUCCGUGCCAGCAGCCGCGGUAAUACGGGGGGUGCAAGCGUUAUUCGGAAUUAUUGGGCGUAAAGGGCGCGUAGGCGGUCUUGUCGGUCAGAUGUGAAAGCCCGGGGCUCAACCCUGGAAGUGCAUUUGAAACAGCAAGACUUGAGUACGGGAGAGGAAAGCGGAAUUCCUGGUGUAGAGGUGAAAUUCGUAGAUAUCAGGAGGAACACCGAUGGCGAAGGCAGCUUUCUGGACCGAUACUGACGCUGAGGCGCGAAGGCGUGGGUAGCGAACAGGAUUAGAUACCCUGGUAGUCCACGCAGUAAACGAUGUUCACUAGGUGUAGCGGGUAUUAAAAUCUGCUGUGCCCAAGCUAACGCAUUAAGUGAACCGCCUGGGGAGUACGGUCGCAAGACUAAAACUCAAAGGAAUUGACGGGGGCCCGCACAAGCGGUGGAGCAUGUGGUUUAAUUCGACAACGCGAAGAACCUUACCUGGGUUUGACAUCCUGUGAAUCUUCAAGAGAUUGAGGAGUGCCUUCGGGAACACAGUGACAGGUGCUGCAUGGCUGUCGUCAGCUCGUGUCGUGAGAUGUUUGGUUAAGUCCAGCAACGAGCGCAACCCUUAUCUUUAGUUGCCAGCGCGUAAUGGCGGGAACUCUAGAGAGACUGCCCGGGUUAACCGGGAGGAAGGCGGGGAUGACGUCAAGUCCUCAUGGCCCUUAUAUCCAGGGCUA
rnacentral:rRNA from 1 species